UACAGGAGGUAGCAGUGUUCGUGAUUUACUGGGCGUAAAGAGCGCGUAGGCGGUCUGUUAAGUGUAGAGUGAAAGCUCCGGGCUCAACCCGGAAAUUGCUCUGCAUACUGGCAGACUUGAGGGAUGCAGAGGUUUGUGGAAUUCCUGGUGUAACGGUGAAAUGUGUUGAUAUCAGGAGGAACACCCAUGGCGAAGGCAGCAAACUGGGCAUCAUCUGACGCUGAGGCGCGAAAGCGUGGGUAGCAAACAGG
rnacentral:rRNA from 1 species